rnacentral:tRNA from 1 species
CGGACCAUUCAAAUCCGGCGGGAGUCGACCCGUUCUGUGGGUUCAA